rnacentral:rRNA from 1 species
AUUGGAUUUGGCGGCAAGAUAACCGUUUAGAGGAACCUGUCCUGUCAAUGACAUUACACAAAUUACCUUACUAUCUUUAGAAAUCAGUUUAUAUACCGCUGUUGUUAAUUAAAUUCUUUAGAAUUUUAUUAUAAAAAUUAAAUAUUUUUACUUCAAGUAAAGGUGUAGCUAAUAAGGUAGAAAGAGAUGGGUUACAAUUAAGUUAUUAAAGUGAAUAAUUUUAUUUUAUAAAAGUUUGAAGAUGGAUUUAAAAGUAAAGAUUUUUAAAGAAAUCUUGAGAAGAGAGAUAUCUUGUGUACAAACCGCCCGUC